AUUGAACGCUGGCGGAAUGCUUUACACAUGCAAGUCGAGCGGCAGCGCGGGGCAACCUGGCGGCGAGCGGCGAACGGGUGAGUAACACAUCGGAACGUACCUUGUAGUGGGGGAUAACUAUCCGAAAGGAUAGCUAAUACCGCAUACGACCUGAGGGAGAAAGCGGGGGAUCGCAAGACCUCGCGCUGGAAGAGCGGCCGAUGUCCGAUUAGCUAGUUGGUAGGGUAAAGGCCUACCAAGGCGACGAUCGGUAGCGGGUCUGAGAGGACGGCCCGCCACACUGGGACUGAGACACGGCCCAGACUCCUACGGGAGGCAGCAGUGGGGAAUUUUGGACAAUGGGGGCAACCCUGAUCCAGCCAUUCCGCGUGAGUGAAGAAGGCCUUCGGGUUGUAAAGCUCUUUCGGCAGGAACGAAACGGCUCUCUCUAACAUAGGGGGCUAAUGACGGUACCUGAAGAAGAAGCACCGGCUAACUACGUGCCAGCCACCGCCGUAACAC
rnacentral:rRNA from 1 species